CUCUGCUUUUGUCUCCUCCUGUUAAACCAAUAAUACAACCACCUCAUCAGUCUCUGUCAGGUGAAGUUCAUCUAUCAAGCUGUGAAGCAAUAGCUCAUCAAAUUUGCAGACGCCUUCUAAACAUCUAAAGUUAAAUCAGAUUCUCGUCUAGCGGCAACAACCACACAUGGGUUUGGAUUUGGUUCUGAUGUGUUUACUUUCUCCAGCCGUUUGAAAAGAGCACAUUUGGUCCUCUGGCAGUGAUUAAUAGCACCCAUUCACUUUCGUUCUGUAGUAAAGAGCAGCUUGGACUUCAUGCAAAAUAUAUGAUGGAUGCAAUCGAACACCACAAGGACAAACAGAGUCAGAGAGAGAAUUCGACAGAACCUUGACUCCGGACCCCUGGGAUGCCCUCCUGCUGAAGAUGUGAGACUGUGAGGUUAUUUUAAGCAGCACAUUGGACCUCAUUCUGAAUGCAAAGAGAGCCUAGGGGUAAAGAGACGAGAAACACAUUGUGAAAAGCGCUAUACACAGAAGAAUAACAGAAAAUCAUUCCCAGUCUUCACACAAAAUGAAACAGCGGCACAGUCUACAUUAGGACACGUCUCAUUAAAGAAAAUCAUUCUUAUUUUAAAGACGACUUCAAAGGGAGCUGACAUCAGAUACGGAUUGUUUGAGAUGCCUGCUGUGACAUAUAUCGAG
ensembl:lncRNA